GUCAAAAAUAUGCAACUUCUUUAAACUUUCGACACGAGCUGAAUACUCGUUAUUUUGUUCCCUGCCUGAGGGAGAUUUUCAUCUUGUCCCAGGUGUCUUGGGCAGUAGGGCAGGUUCCUGGCACCCAUGCCCCAAAUCAGUGCUUCAGGGCCCCCGAGAAGCCCCACUCACUCUCUGCCCAGGAUGUUUCUCCUUCCCCACUAGUCAUGGAUCCUCUCAGGCAAGGCAGAAGCAGCUGAUGAAGUAGUCACAACCCUCUAAGAGGAGACCAGCGGGUGGAAUUCGCAACAACCUCAGCCCUGAGGUUUGGAAGACAAACGACUUCUGUUUCAGACAAAUGGGAGUGUCAGGUUAUUCCAGCCUGAUGAGAUUACAGCUCAGAGGAUCACGAGGACUCAGUUCUUCCAGAAGAGGAAAAAAACAGCUGGCACAGGAGCGCUGCAGGGCUUUCUGCGGAAGCUCUGUGCUACUUGAAGUUUGGUCCCAAGACCAGAAGCAUCGGCAUCACCUGGGAGCUUGUCUGAAUCUGCAUUUUGGCAGGGAGCACCCCCUCAACAAGAGGACACAUAAGUACCUUACAGUCUGAGAAGCUGGCUGUUUCCUGGAGAGGAGUAUGGAUGAGGACUCCAUGGAUAAUCUGUGCAGGAAGGAUAGUAUGUUACUGAGGAUUUGCCUGAAAGACAGAGAUACAAAUUAGCUUGUGUAUGAAGAGUGUUUUAAUGAGAAAGGGAGUCUACAAAAUGAUCCUUGUGUUAGGAUUAUAAUAAUUGCAAAUAUUUGUACAUAUGGAUACCAUUUGGAAGAGGAUGCAGAGAAAUGAAAAUUAAGGUGGGCUGGGAUUUUCUAUCUCCACAGAGAACAACAUGAGCUGGAAUUUCCCUGGAGAAACUGAAAUCAGAUAUAAGAAAGCAUUUCUUUUUGGGAUGUCUAGACCUUGGGAAGUGCUUACAGGAGAGGUGAGAAACACCUUCGAGAAUGGAAUCCCUCAUUCACCGUAUGGAGAGCACUUGUGGUCCCUAGAACUGGGGGGAUAAACCAGAUUGUUGCUGGAGGAUUCGCUCAUCUGGAGAGUCUUAUAUUAUUUCCUUUUCACAGAUGGGGAUCCCAGUAUUUAGCAUUAACUGAGAUGCAGAUGUGACUCGGUGAAUUGAUGGCAGAGCUAUUGACAGGAAAAUCUAUGAAGUAGGGAAAGAAUAACUGUGAUGACCGCUUUAGAGCUCCUCAAGUUACGUGCCUCCAUUCCUGUAAUUGAUCUCGGUUUUCCCAGCAGCCGGAGCGCUUAGGAACCAGGUUAGUGAAUCCCUGCCCCCAGGUUAGUCUAACAUGAGAAAUCUGCAGAGACUCUUGUAGUCAUAAAUAUUUUCAACUACCUAAAGGAACACCACCAGGGUGCAGGAGAGGACAUGAAGAGCAGCUUUCUAGGAUGGGAAGAAAGGGUUUUUUUGUUUUGUUUUUUUUUUUGUUUUUUGCCACCACAGUGGGUACCAAUCUGGCACCUCCCACCUAGGCCAUACGUCUGCUCCAAGUCCAGAGCUCCCCAAUAAAUAAACUUUUUCCCAGAUAGGAAAGUUGUUUUGUUGUUCUUGUUUCAGCCACUUGGAUAGCAC